rnacentral:ncRNA from 1 species
GGGCCAUUUUUGGUAAGCUGGACUGGCGAUGAGGGAUAAACCGAAAGCCGGCUUAUGUUUCCAAAAUGCAUUCUAACCGAGAUCCAACAAAGGGUGUUGGUCAAUUAAGACAACAGGAAAGUGGUCAUGGAAGUCAAAAUCCACUAAGGAGUUUGUACCAACUCACUUGCCGAGUAAACUAGCCCCGAAAAUGGAUAGGCACUUAAGCGCGCGACCUACACUUAGCCGUCGGGGUUAGUGCCAGACCCCGAUGAGUUGGAGGGAAUGGCGGUAGCUACAAAACCUUGGGCAUGAGCCUGUGCAGAGCAGCCGUUAAGUGUAGAUCUUUGUGGUAGUAGAAAAUAUGCAAAUGAGAACUUUGAAGGCCGAAAAGGGGAAAGGUUCAAUGUGAACGGCACCAGCACAUGGGUUAGUCAAUCCUAUGGGUCGGGGGAACCCCGACAGAUAGCGCGUUUCGUGUGUACUCCGUAAGGGAAUGGGUUAACGUUGGUGGGAGGUAGACGACAACGUUAGGAAGUCGGCAAACGU